UAUUUUGCGACCCCAAGUGACCCUCCCAAAGACCAAAGAAACAAAAGAAAAAAAAAACGCGAUACCGCUCUAUCAAUAAUAUCUCUCUUCCUCCUUGUAUAUAUCUCAACUUACGUUAAUCAUAUCCUUCCACACACCAGCUAAGCAGCAAGCUCUCACUGCACUCACCGCAUCGAUCUCUACUCGAUACACAGCAGCAGCAGCAGCCGCCUAAACCCCCAUUAGCUAGCUGCAUGCCUCAGCGAGCCAUGGAGUCGCCUCCAAUCCCCUCUUGAGACAAGCUGUGCCAAGGGCAACGAGUACAAGCCGGAGCUAUUGGGCUCUCUACUUUUCAAGAUAUAGUGAUGCAACUACUGCGAAUGGAGAUUUGAAAGCAGUUGAUGAGUUAUCAAUCUACGCCACAUCAUCAUAAGAAACGUGCAGAGAGGGAAAGUGAAUUAUCAAAUGGAGUUGGCCACUGGAGCGAUAGGUGCAGUCCUCCCCAAGUUGGGCAAGCUGCUAAAGGAGGAGUAUGACCUGCAUAAUAGUGUGAAAGAGGGGAUAAAGUUCCUGAAGGCCGAGCUCGAGUACAUGCAACCUGCUCUUAAGAAGGUGUCGAAUGUUCCACGAGACCAGCUUGACGAACAAGUCAAGAUCUGGGCUAAGGAUGUUAGAGAGCUAUCGUACAGCAUCGAGGACAUCAUUGACACCUUCAUGCUACAGGUGGAUGCACUUGAGCCACCCAAGAAUAACAUCUUCACAUGGUUAAUCAAUAAAUGCCACAAGUUGUCCCAGCUAAUGAUCCACCACAAAAUAGGCAAUGACAUUAAAAGUGUUGAGAACCAAGUCAAGGAGGUGACCGAAAGAUACGAUAGAUAUAGGAUUGAUAGUAUUGAUGCUAAGCCUCCAAUAUUUAUUGACCCUCGUAUCUUGGGACUGUACGAGAAGGUCACCAAUCUUGUUGGUGUUGACAAGGCCAGUGAAGAUCUAAUCAGGAUGUUGUUUGUAGGAAGUGAUGCAUCCAAGAUGCUUAAGAUUGUAUCUGUUCUUGGAUUAGGAGGUUUGGGCAAGACAACUCUUGCAAAAUUCGUGUUUGACAAUCUGAAAGUGCAAUUUCAGUGUUUUGCUUUUAUUUCGGUUGGUCAGAAACCUGCUGACAUCAAGAACGUUCUCAAGCACAUCCUGAUUGGACUUGACAAACACAAGUACAUGGAACUCGAUACAUCCCAACUAAGUGAAAGUUAUUUAACUGAUGAGGUCCGUGAAUAUCUGGAUAACAAGAGGUACUUGAUUGUUAUUGAUGACGUAUGGGAGAUAUUCACAUGGAAAAGGAUUAAUUGUGCUUUGGUGGAUAGUAAUUGUGGAAGUAAAGUAAUUACAACAACUCGUAUUUCUGAAGUUGCUGAAGUAGUUGGUGAUGUUUAUAGGAUGAAGCCGCUUUCCAGUGACAACUCCAAAAGGUUAUUCAACAAUAGAAUAUUUGGUAUUGGUUCCAAUGGACCAACUAAUAAUCAAUCAGUUGAAGCAACUGAGAAGAUCUUAAAGAAAUGUAAUGGCAUGCCUUUGUCUAUAGUUACAAUGGCUAGUUUGUUGGUUAAUAAACCAGUGGAGGACUGGAUCGAAGUGUACGACUCUAUUGGUUUUGGGCCUACAGGUCAAAAUCAAGAAGUUGAGAACAUGAGAAAGAUAUUAUCUUUUAGCUACUACGAGUUGCCUUCAUACCUAAAGACUUGUCUACUAUACCUAAGCAUAUAUCCAGAAGACCACCGGAUCAUGAAAAAACCAUUGAUAUGGAAGUGGAUAGCUGAAGGCUUUGUCCAAGAGGAACAACAAACCUGGUUAUUUGAGGUUGGCGAGAGGUAUUUCACCGAGCUUGUAAAUAGAAGCAUGAUCCAACCAAUUGAGAUGUAUGGCCGGGUGUUUGCCUGCCGCAUCCAUGACAUGGUGCUAGAUCUUAUUCGCAUCUUGGCAACCGAAGAGAACUUUGUAAAGAUACUAGACAGGUUAUAUGAUGUUCAUAGCUCAUCUUCACAAAGCAGCACUGCCCGUAGGGUAGCAUGGCACAAGAGCUUGAACCAAGAUAAAUUCGAUAACUUGACCACAGGGAUGGCACAACUGAGGUCACUCAAUGCCAUUGAGUGUCCUAUUAGUAUGAUUCCCCCGUUAGUGAGCUUUGAGAUUCUACACGUGCUAGCACUGGAAUCGUGUGGUGUCAUAACAGGAUAUCACUUGAAGCAUAUUGGGAAGCUACAAAGGUUGCGUUACCUGGGACUUAGAGGCACACGAAUUACCGAGCUCCCAAGUGAAAUAGGGGAUCUCAUGCAUCUGUUGGUAUUGGAUGUCAGGGGCACUAAUGCACUGCCAGCAACUGUUGGAAAGCUAAGAAGGCUGAUCCGACUAUGCGUCGGAGGCACCAUAGUUCCUUCUGGGGUAAUUGGGAACCUGACCUCACUGCAAGAUUUGCGUUUGGGCGAGAUAACCGAUGAUGGCUGCCCAAACAUUGCUGUGGAUCUCUGCAAACUGACAGACCUGAGGAAGCUCACCAUUGAUUGGUUGCAUCUAGAUGAGGGCUCACUGAAGACACUGGUGGAGUCCCUAUGCACCCUGCGCAAACUACAGAGCAUCAAGAUCAAGGGCAGUUGGAAGGUGUUGGAAGGUUGGGAAGGCUGGGAGCCCCCACGGCAGUUCCGCAAGUUCUACGUGGAUGGUUCAUUGCCUCGGCGGCCAACGUGGGUGGAUUCCGUGCGUAUUCCACACCUCUCCCAUCUGAACCUUCACUUGCUGGCUGUGGAACAAAGGGACUUGGAUGCCCUUGCGAUGAUGCCGGAGCUCCGCGUCCUCGAAGUGAACUCCGAUUUGUCAAUUUCAUGGACAAUCGCUGGUGGCGGUUUGUUCCCAAGCCUGAGAUGCUUCUCCACGGACAUAGAGAUCAUGUUUUUGCAGGGAGCAAUGCCAAUGCUCACGAAUAUUUCAUUUGAGCCAUCUGGUGAUGAUUCAGCCAAUGACAUUGGAUUAAGGUACCUCCCUUAGCUGAAUGAUGUUUUUAUACAUCUGCUGUACUGCUCAGAUCUGACGGCCAGGCAAGUGAAGGAAGCCAUAGCGGUGUGGAGGCGUGUGAUUAAUUCUCACCCCAACCGUCCCAUCACUCAUGUGCAGAUAGGUGACGAGGCUUAUAAUCUGAUUCCAUCAGACGAUAGCGAUGACGAGGAGAUUUCCGAUCCAGGGAAAGAUGACAUAAAUGAUGAGGAGGAGGAUCAAAUUUCAGAUCCAGAGGAAACCGACAGAAAUUAUGGCGAGGAGGAGAUUUCAGCCACGGACCAGAAGCAGGACAAUGGCGCAGCCGACGAGGCAAAGAGGAGGAGGCUAUCUUGAACCAAUUCGCUCUGCACUCUCGUUCCUUGAUGCGUGCAGCGGCAGGAGGAUAAUUUCAGAGAAACUCUUUGGUGGAACCCUCCAUGGCUUUAUGACGAGGAAGAAGACCAGUAUCCUCCGGCAGACUUGAGCGCCAGAACAGAACCGGCCGUUCGAUGGAUUGGCUAGUUUUUCCUAAUAGUUUCCUGUGCCAUUUUACUUAGCUUUUCUACAUUGUUUUUAUUUACAGAUGGAUUGUAAUAUAUGCAUCAGUGAGGCCUAAUCAUAGGCCCAGAUAAAAACACAAACUGAUGGUGUGUAAUUGGUUGGAAGUGCAAUGUUUGAUGGAAUGAUCCCAUCCAAGUUUUACGGUGAA